GACAGAGGUGCCGAGCGUUAGGCGGAAUCACUGGGCUUAAAGCGUGUGUAGGCGGACUUCUAAGUACCUUGUGAAAUCCCACGGCUCAACCGUGGAACUGCUUGGUAUACUGGUUGUCUUGAGCCACUUAGGGGCAGUCGGAACAGACGGUGGAGCGGUGAAAUGCGUAGAUAUCGUCUGGAACGCCAAAGGUGAAAACAGGCUGCUGGGGUUGCGCCGACGCUGAGACACGAAAGCCAGGGGAGCAAACGGG
rnacentral:rRNA from 1 species